UCUCGUGGGACAUGGUGUUCACCUCAGCAACUGGAGCCUCCCACUUGUAUCUCCUUUCACGUGCCCCUGCCAGGAGGGUUUUACCUCUUGCAUAUUGCAUAACUACUUUCCAGAGCCAGCACCGAUUUUGUCUGCUCAGGUUACAGGAGGUUUGCAAGAGCCAUUUGAAAUACAGGAGGAGCAAUUUAAGUGCCCAGGCUGCAGCUCCAGAGGGUCUACUUGGCCAGCCGAAUGUGGAGACUGGACGAGUUUUGCCUGCAUUUAGAAAGCACUGCAGGACCUGGUUCCUCUCACAGUCCUCCCUUAAGCAUUGACUACGGAAUAAAUAGAGGAUGUUUUCCUUCCCUGAAUAUCUAUUUCCUUCCUAAAUAAACCAUGGUGACCUUUCACCUGAUUGAAGCCUGUUGCAGUGGCUCCUCACAGUCUCCUCCAGGCUGGAUGAAAACACAGCCCAUGCUUUCUCACCUCCUACCACAGUCAGAGUGGGGGAGGCAGCUGAGCAACCCUUCCUGCAAUCCCUUCAGUCUGUGAUGGUGGUGAUACAGAGGGAGUGGAUAAAGCCAGAAUUGGUCAAAUGCCAUCCAUGCUCUCUCCUCACAGAGCUCAGCUGAGAGCAGUUCAUAUGCAUCAGCACUGAGGUGCCUUCAAACCAUCCAAAAGCCUGAAGCUGUGAUUCUGCAAAACUGCCCUCAUCCUCAUGAAUCACUGGACAAAGGAGCUGCUGGAUUUGGACUCUGUUACCUGGUCUGAACUCUCUGCUGAUAUGAACCCUGGGAUCUCUCCUGCUCUGACUCUUAGCCUCUUACACCACUGAGCUUCCAGGAGGGCUUGGACUGAGACCCAAACACCCAUUCUGCACGGGCAAGUUCACAGACAGGUUUUUGCAAGCCGGUCUUUGCUUCACCCAUGGACAAUUUUCAUUUGGAUGAUUUUCCUCCAGCCCCAUCUGUUGUUGUGGCCUCACAGAUACAGUUCAUGACUUGUUCUUGCCUCCUACUUCUUGGCCUGCCAAAGUCCCAUCCCUGUUGCAAAUACCACAGCCCUGAAGCAGCCAGGUAGAGUAUUCCCCUUGAGGUACUGGAAAAUCAAUCCUUUUCAUCCACAGAGAACUAGAACUGCAUCUAUUUUCUGAGUUAUCACCACUCUUGAAGCUAGUGAAAUAUCAGGAUUUGGUCGAUGAUUUCUGCAAGGCUGUGAUAUAUAAACUUAGGCCGAUCCCUUCUGUGUAGAUGAAGCCAAACUCUGUUUAUGACAGGACAUUGUUCCGUAUCUAACCUAUUGCACAGGCACACUUCCUGUCUUUAAUGUUAUUGUCUGACCCUCUUACACUUAAAUCCCAGGUCAGCCCAACAAUAUUGCAGUGGAGUGCAAUAUUGUCUUGCUGAAUCACGUAAAUCAUGUUUGCAGGUGACAUUUCAACAGCUCUUCUUAGAGCUGAAGCCCGGGGCAGUUUUAGGUGCUGGGGAGGUUCCGCCUGUGGAAGGUUCUACAAAGCCAGUAGGAGGCCCCUGCAGUGGGGUUUUGCUGGGAUACAGUUGUCAUUGCACAGGAGAACUUGGUGAUUCACCCCUGUGAACGUGCCCAUAGAGGCUUUUGAGAGCAGGUGCGCACUUUCCACAACCACAGCAAGUGUGUGCUGCAGACCAGGGUGCACUUCCUGUUGGUGGCUGGGUGCCAUCUCCCAAUGGCAAUUUUCGGCUGUUGACAGAUGUGGGGGCCACUCCAUGUCCUCACCAACCAGCACAGCAGUGCCCCUGGCAGCUUGGCACUACUGUGCUCAGCACUGAACAGCUUCACCUCCAUCCCCAGAACUCUGUCACUGACCUUGGAGAUGAGGUCAAGUCAGGCUGCAUGCAAAGGAAACAUCCUCAAAAUCAUAAAUGCUCAUAUAUCACUUCUGUUGAGGGCACAACUCAGAAUUCCUGCCCUGAGAUGGGAGUUUUCCAGUGGAGAUCUGUGCAAAGAGAUAGGGUCUGUGGAAGCUCCUGUGGUGGGUUUGCUUUCUACAUGGAGUGGAAAAAGUCACAUCUUAUGAGUCACACCUCUAUUGCAGAAAUGCAGAUGCCACUACAAACUCUCCAGAUGUACACAGACCAAACACUGCCUGUCUUGUUAGGCUCCCAGCUCCAAGUGAUGAAUUUUGAAUUCUCCUGCCAGAAUUUAUUCUGAAUUCGUAUUUUAAAAGAGCAGAAACUGCUCAUGCAUUCCCUUAUUCCAGAAAGGCUGAGAAACUCUUGGAUGGUGACCUAGACUUUAAAGUGCUGCUUUUGUUCAAAGGGUUUCUUACACUGAAAGUUUGGCACUUGCUUAGCUGCUUUGAGCAGUGUGAAAAUGUUGAAUUGUGUGGAUGUCAGAAAACCAUGAUGAGGAUUGUCCACCUGGGAAAUUUUAGGGAGAUAACUUCUUUGACUGUGUGAAUGAUGCUGGUGUAGCUAAACAGAUGAUAGAUAUGACCACCCAUGACAUGUCAUUCCUUAGCUAAUACCAUGCAAAGAUUGCUCAUUGUGGGCAAUACCCUGUUUUGAUGUCUCUGGCCUGCACCAGCUUCCUCAGACUGCAAUCAAUUCCCAAGAUUGCACUAAGGUUAUGGACUGCCUCCAGACUUCCAGUUUGAGACCACUGCUGUGUGCAGGGGUAUAGUAAUAGCUAAACUAUAUAAUUACAUCGGAUCGCAUUCACAUCAGGGGCUUCAGGACCUUUGCUACAUCUGCUACCAGUUAAGGCUGUGCAAAAGCAGCAUCUUUGGCUUGCUGAGCUGUGUCAGCAAGCCCCUGCUGUGUUGUGCAUGGAGCAGCCGAAAUCAACUACAACUGGUAGUUGCUGUAAAGCCCCUCAUGUUUUGCUGUACAACGUAGCAGUGAGCUAGAUUGAGGAGUUUCUUAAUACAGACUUUGCGAGAGAGUGGCCAGCCAAGAGAAUUCUGAAGCUGGCAGCCUGUAAUCAGUCUCCACCAAAGAAAGGACAAGGGUUUGGGGGUCUGAAGGGCAGUAAGGCCCAAAGAACUGCAUCCCACAAACCCAAGCAGUGUUCAGAUCCAUGCGGUGAUGACAGCAAAGCCUAACAACUCUUUGUAUCCUGCCUGGUCCUCCCUGCCUGUGGACACCUUGCUAGCUUCCCUACUGCUGAGGGAAGCAGGCUCCCAGUAAAGAGAAGAUAGUCCUUUUCCACCCUGCCCAGUCCCACAUCACUUAGCCUGACCAGCCCCAUGAGGAUCCCAAUAGCUCUGGAGAUGGGCAAAACAGAAACACUAAAAUUCUACUAAAGCAGAA